ensembl:snRNA U2 U2 spliceosomal RNA
AUCGCUUCUCAGCCUUUUGGCUAAGAUCAAGUGUAGUAUCUGCUCUUAUCAGUUUAAUAUCUGAUACGUCAUCUAUCUGAGAACAAUAUAUUAAAUGGAUUUUUGGAGCACGGGAAUGGAAUAGGAGCUUGCUCCAUCCACUCCACGCAUCGACGUGGUAUUGCAGUACUUCCAGGAACAGUGCACCCCUU